rnacentral:tRNA from 1 species
GCCGGCUUAGCUCAAUUGGUAGAGCAACUGACUUGUAAUCAGUUAGGGGGGGGUUCCCAUCCUCUAGCCGGCACCA